ensembl:lncRNA
CCUGUAAUAAAUUUAGAAUCUCGCUGUGAGCCUAAUAAAACCUUUAGAACGUAUAAAUAUUAGAAAUGCAGAUGUGUUUUUAAAUGAUUUUGUAUAAUUUGACAUCGUUAACGUUUUUCACUCUGUGUGGAGUUUAAAGACGCUCCCUUGCGUCAUCGCUCGCGGCACAAAUAAAUGAAAGUAAAAGUGCAUUUGAAGUUCCGCCAUUUUAAACAGCCAUUUACGCGUAGAAGCCGGUGGAGUUUGUGAACAUUAAUGAAGGUGCAGGUCUCUGAUUUAAAGAGUCAGUGCUGGACAUCAGAUUCUGCUUCAUCAUGGAUGACACACAACCCACUGAGCAAAAGUACGUCCAAUCGAGGUCUUUUCAACGUCUUUGUCGGACGUUGAAAUGACGUCCCCUGAAGCUUUUGAUAGUAAAUGGGAGUCUCCAUCGUGUUUUUAUGUCUCUAUAUUUUAAGAUAAAAUGUUAUUAAAACAAAAAGACUGUAAACCCUUUAUCAUAUCAUCAUAAAGGAUUAAAUGUGUUUGUUAUAGUUCAGUUGAUCAGAAGAGAUCAGAAGCAGAGUCCAGCUGUGUGUCUCUGAGGAGUGACCGGUCUAUGAAUCAUCCAUUAGCUUUUAAGAGUGGAGAUACACAGACUGAUCUCAGUUCAGUUCCUCAGAAGAGAUCAGAGUCCAGCUGUGUGUCUGUGAGGAGUGACACAUCUAUGAAUCAGUCAUUAGAUUAUAAGAGUGAAGAUACAAAGACUGAUCCCAGCCAUGAAGUCCUCAAGAUGUUUAGAUCAAAUCUGCUGAAGAAGUUUGAGCGUCUGUAUGAAGGCACAGCGACGCAGAGAAACCCAACACUCCUGAAUGAGAUCUACACA